UUCCUUGUGGCCCAAUGGCAAGGCGUCCGCCUACGAUACAAUUUUAGUAAGUAGCGGGAGAUUCCAGGUUCGACCCCUGGCAGGGAAG